AAUAAAAUAAAAAGGAGAAAAAAGAGAAAGGAAUCUGCCUACGCGAUGGGCUAAAUCCUAACCAAGUCGGCCCAUUUACAUCUUUAACGCACCAGCCCAACUCGGUUCUCCGCUCGCACACAUUGACCUGGGUGUCAGUGGCAUUGCAGGCCUGCCUGCCAUUCACUCACAAGUGCGCCUUUCCAGUGCUGCUUCUUUAUGCCAUGUGGACCCGGGAAGUCAGCCGUAAUCCCUCAACAACCUUGGCCGCACAUGGCGGGUGCGCCGGUGCCGCUGGUGGUGGACUCAGGGUCAAAUCCCUCCCCACCUUGCCUUUAUAAGUUGUGCAGCAAACGUUAUACGGCUCCUCUUCCACCUCCGUGAGAAUCACCGACCGAUAGCACCGUGUGCGGGAGAGCUAUGAGGAAAACGUGAAGGGAGGCUCGCCAUUGGUGAUUCGUGGCCCUUGGGGAAACCUGGUCGUGAUUGUGGCCUAGGGGAAGACCACGGAGCACGCCGGGCGCAUACGCGAGGAAAUCAAGGGCUGAUCACCCAUGCUGCGGGGCGGAUUACUCACCGGUGAACAAUCCACGUCGCUUGGCCGCCAAUCCUCGUCGGUAGGGCGCAUCACUUCAAAAUCGGAGACAAGCAAGCUACUGAGGACCCAGGUGUUUAGUAGGAGGAAAAAUUAUU